CGGACAAACACCGCUGGGACUUCUACGUUCGCUUCUCCGGAGCGAGCCCCGCCCCUCUUCUCCUGCACCGCCCUCCCUUCAGACGGCGAGGAUCCCGGAUGUUACCUCCUCCGGCGCUCUGUAUCUCCGCCCUUUCUCCUCAGGUUCCCGCCCCUUUCGAACGCACAGCUGGUUCCCGCGAGGCCCAGAGUUUCGAUGUCUCCUGGGUGGCUAGAGCGUCUUCUUGCGCUGGGUCGCGCUGCAGGUGACGGCGCCCGGAGGCUGUCGGGAAGUAGGCGGGGUGACGUGUGGUUGACGAGCUCGGCGGCGGGUUUGCUGAGAUCUGUGGCCGGCGGCAGCUGGUGCGGGGGGCUGCCGAGAACGCGAGGUGGAGCGGGGCGGUGUGUGGCCAGGGCCAUGACGGGCAAUGCCGGGGAGUGGUGCCUCAUGGAAAGCGACCCCGGGGUCUUCACCGAGCUCAUUAAAGGAUUCGGUUGCCGAGGAGCCCAAGUAGAAGAAAUAUGGAGUUUAGAGCCUGAAAAUUUUGAAAAAUUAAAGCCAGUUCAUGGCUUAAUUUUUCUUUUCAAGUGGCAGCCAGGAGAAGAACCAGCAGGCUCUGUUGUUCAGGAUUCCAGACUUGACACAAUAUUUUUUGCAAAGCAGGUAAUUAACAAUGCAUGUGCCACUCAAGCCAUUGUAAGUGUGUUAUUGAACUGUACCCAUCAAGAUGUUCAUUUAGGAGAGACAUUAUCAGAGUUUAAAGAAUUUUCACAAAGUUUUGAUGCAGCUAUGAAGGGUUUGGCACUGAGCAAUUCAGAUGUGAUUCGACAAGUACACAACAGUUUUGCCAGACAGCAAAUGUUUGAAUUUGAUGCAAAAACAUCAGCCAAAGAAGAAGAUGCUUUUCACUUUGUCAGUUAUGUUCCUGUUAAUGGAAGACUGUAUGAAUUAGAUGGAUUAAGAGAAGGACCAAUUGAUUUAGGUGCUUGCAAUCAAGAUGACUGGAUCAGCGCAGUACGGCCAGUCAUAGAAAAAAGAAUACAAAAGUACAGUGAAGGUGAAAUUCGAUUUAACUUAAUGGCUAUUGUGUCGGACAGAAAAAUGAUUUAUGAACAGAAGAUAGCAGAGUUACAAAGACAACUUGCAGAGGAGGAACCUAUGGAUACAGAUCAGGGUAGUAAUAUGUUAAGUGCUAUUCAAUCAGAAGUUGCCAAAAAUCAGAUGCUUAUUGAAGAAGAAGUACAAAAGUUAAAAAGAUACAAGAUUGAAAAUAUCAGAAGGAAGCAUAAUUAUCUGCCUUUUAUUAUGGAAUUGUUAAAGACUUUAGCAGAACACCAGCAGUUAAUACCUCUUGUAGAAAAGAUGUUCUGAUAAAGGGGAAGGAUUCUUUAAUAAGUUCCCCAAGUGAUUCUAAUGCAACUGAUCUGUGUACCACAUUUUGAGAAAUACUGAGAAGAUACUACUAGGCAAAUAAAAUUUUGGACCAUUAAUAUAAAGACCAGAUUACGUGGCAAAAGAAAAACAGAAUGCAAAGAAAGCUCAGGAAACCAAAUGAAGAGGAUGCUUUGGGAUGUGUACACAUUUCUGCUUCUACACUUAUUUUCAUGGCACCAUUAAGUAUAAGGAACUUUGAGCAACAUCCUAAUUGACUGAAUGCACGUUUGGCAAUAGUACCAGUCUGUCUUGUCUUUAAUGCAUGGAUUAAUAAACUUUUCCCCUACCUGCAUCAUGUGCAUGCAGUGCAUAUUAAAUAAAAAUAAUACUGAGAGUGCUUGCCCAAAUUCCGUUUUUUUGACAUUGGAUCUGAGAACUCUUAUUGGUAUUCUGGAUUUAUAACUACAGUAUGAACCUAGAAAAUGCACAAAUGAUAUUCUUUACCUGUAAUGUUCUGAUUAAUCUUUUGAUUUUUUUUAGCUUAAAAUUUUUUGAUUUUUAAAUGUUAAAUCUUAACUAAAUCUUCUGUUUCUUCUUAUCAUUAAUGGAAAAAAUCAAUAUUUCUGUCUUUGACAUGUGUUUUGAGAAUCUUAAAACUAAAAAUUUCCUCUUAUACCACUUAUUUGAUUUUAAUGCAGAUCAUUUGAAAAGAGCAAAAGUAAAAUUUUUAGUGAUUUUCAUUGUUGCCAAUAGAAAAGGUAAUAAGCAUUGCAAUUUUAUUUUAACAAACUUUCUUCAAGUGUUUGGGGUUAUUUUUUAAACCAUAGAUUUAUUGUAGGAAGAUCUGAAUAUUAUGCCUCAAAACAAAAUUUCAAGUUAAGAACAAAUUGUAAUUCUUAAAGAGUUUUGGUAUUAUUACCAAUUUGGCAACCUUGUCAAGUUGUUAAGGUGAGUUUUUAUGGAAAAUUUGAGGUUUGACAAUUCAGGUUAUCUGCUUUAAAAAAAGAUGACAGUGGUGAUAGAGGAUCCUCUGUGCCAAUUUGAAUAAAAUUAGUAUAGCUCAGUUUCCAAGAGCCAUGUAAUGUACAAUUUGCUCACAAAGAUUUUUUUUUAGUGGGGGGAGUUGUUUUCAUUUUUAUUUUAUAAAGUACUACUGAACUAUAUUCUUGCUUGUAAUUUUCUUUUCCAAGUAAACUCUAAAUGAAAUUUUAUAAAACUUCUUUUUAUAAAGGAAAUAACCCACUUUUUUCUUUACCAAGCACAUUUUUGAAAUUGAUAUGUGAGUUUUUAACAUUUUAUUAUUUAUUGUAAAAUAAAUUUAACAUAAUUUAUUUUAUUAGGUGGAAUGUGUACCUAUCAUCCAGCUUCAACACAUGAAUUUUUUAUGAUUGUUUUAAAGCUUACUAAUUGUGGUAUUAUUAAAUGACUUAGAAUUAAUGCAGGGGAGACCUGUGGUAAAAUUGAGUAGAAAAAUUAAUGAAAUAUUUUUCAUAUAUAAUUUCAGUUGAAAGUACUAAAAAUAUUUAGUUUUUCAGUUAUUUGUGAGUAAAUAUAUUUUGCUCUUGAUAUGGUAGUAAUUAUGGAGUGUUUCAAAACUGUGAUACAAUUUUAAAAAAUGGUUUUCUAAGGAUGUUCUUAGGCUCAUCUCAAUCUCAUUCAUUUAUUUCAAUUUAAUUUCUAUAUUUUCUUUUAUUGAGGCUUAAAUUUUGUAAAGCAAUGCCAGGAUUAUUGUAAAAAGUAGUAUCAGUAAUCAGAUAAAUCAAUGGAAUAAAAGACAGGACCUAAAAACAUUAAUUUUUAACUGAUCACUUGAUUUUUACAAAGGUGUCAAAUAAUCAAACAGGAAAGGAGAGUCUUCAACAAAUGUAGGUAGGAUAGUAGAGCUGAAUAUCCACUGAGGAAAAAAGGAAUCAAGAGUUCCCUAUCUCACAAAAAAUUAUUUGAGUUGAAUCAUAGAUGUUUUUGUAAUAGCUAAAAAAUAUAAGUCUUUUUUUCCCAGAAAACAUUGGUGAAUAUCUUUGUGACUUGAGAGUAGCCAAAGGUUUCUCGGGUCAUAGAACACAUUAACCAUAAAAGAUCCAGGAUUAGGUUUCAUCAAAAUUAAAAACUUGUCAUUGAAAGACACCUUUAGCAAGAGUAGCUUGCAUAGAAUGACAUCUUUAAAAGAGCUUUAUAAAUUUAGGUUAUAGGUAUAAGGAUUUCUUAAAAAUUUAAUUUCUUAUAAAAGUCCAUGAUAGGAUUUCCAUAGUUUAGGAAUGGUUUAUCUGCUGCUUCUUUAAUGAUUGCAAAUGCAUUGUGAUACUUCAUGUUUUUUUUUUUUCUGCUUGUGAAUAAAGAAGUAUGACUUGUC